rnacentral:rRNA from 1 species
CCUACGGGAGGCAGCAGUGGGGAAUAUUGGGCAAUGGGCGCAAGCCUGACCCAGCAACGCCGCGUGAAGGAAGAAGGCUUUCGGAUUGUAAACCUCUUUUGUCAGGGACGAAGCAAGUGACGGUACCUGACGAAUAAGCCACGGCUAACUACGUGCCAGCCGCCGCGGUAAUACGUAGGUGGCAAGCGUUAUCCGGAUUUACUGGGUGUAAUGGGCGGGUAGGCGGGACUGCAAGUCAGGUGUGAAAACCACGGGCUCAACCUGUGGCCUGCAUUUGAAACGGUAGUUCUUGAGUACUGGAGAGGCAGAUGGAAGUCCUGGUGUAGCGGUGAAAUGCGUAGAUAUUAGGAGGAACACCAGUGGCGAAGGCGGUCAGCUGGAAAGCAACUGACGCUGAGGCGCGAAAGCGUGGGGAGCAAACAGGAUUAGAUACCCUUGUAGUC